rnacentral:rRNA from 1 species
UACGAAGGGUGCAAGCGUUACUCGGAAUUACUGGGCGUAAAGCGUGCGUAGGUGGUUUGUUAAGUCUGUUGUGAAAGCCCCGGGCUCAACCUGGGAAUGGCAAUGGAUACUGGCAGGCUAGAGUGCGGUAGAGGGUAGUGGAAUUCCCGGUGUAGCGGUGAAAUGCGUAGAGAUCGGGAGGAACACCAGUGGCGAAGGCGGCUACCUGGACCUGUACUGACGCUCAUGCACGAAAGCGUGGGGAGCAAACAGG